AAAAAAGAAGAAGCCUUCCAGCUUGCCAUAGAAGACCCCUAGGAAUGGAUAAUGGCACUGAGAGCUCUCGCAGCUGAGAACAGUGCUUCUCCCCAACAGCUAUCUGCAUGUAUCAGAAUCUUCCCGAAGCAUGGAUCAUCAAUUGAUAAAACCAAAAAGAGGUACAGUAAAGACACUUCCUAUAUGCAAGAAUCUUCGUAAAUAGCAUCCAUACACACAAAUAGUUCACAAAAGCUGUAGAAGCUAGAAACAAGUGAAAAUGAUUUUCGUGAAGUCACCAGUGUAAAAUGUAAGUGUGAAAGUGAUGCUUCUAUUGUUCAAAUACAAAUAAAAUAUUAAACAAAAGCAUUCCAAGUAUUGAUCAUAGAAAUGUAUAAAUAGUAGAAAUGGCUUAAACAGUGUUUUAUAAAAUAUUUUUGAGCAAUAUCACAGAAUGCAGCUUAUCACAGCUGUGCUAAGUAUAAAAACAACACAGUUGCAGGUGUGAUUGCUUUUAAAUAAAUGUGCAGUAAGUACGGAGUUACUUUAAUUUCAGACAGAAUUUGGAUAGUUUGUAAUUAUAGUUGUUGUUGUAGUUAUUAGUAUAGCUAUUAGCACUCUUGUAAUGCUAAUCAAAUUAGAAGGCUGAAACCAAUGGUAUGAAACUAAAAUGCAACAUAAAUUACAAAUCCCAAGUGCUCAUACCCAGCACAGCAGGUUGAGAUUCAUGCACACUGCAAAAUCUACUUUAACUGUACAAUAACUUACAUUUUCUAUCACUACAACAGCACACACAUAUUUCCAUUUUUAUCAUGUGCACUGACAGGUUGGGAGUGCCUUCUAGUGUGGAAAAAAUGGUUAAAUAAUAUAUGAUGCAUUAUAUUCUUCUAAACAACUUUGAAGAUAUGAACAUUUUAUCAAACUUGGGAUCCCACAAAGGUCCCUAUGAGCAUAUACAAUCAUGUCAGUACUAAAAUGUACAGAUGUUUGAUAUUGCAGUAAAUAUAUUAUGUCAAAUUACACAAAUAAUUCUUUUGGACAUUUUGCAGUAAAAACAAAAUAAAGAU
rnacentral:lncRNA from 1 species